GGCAAAUCUGGACAAAAUGUCAGCAGUUGGUCUUCACUAGGUCUCCCAGUAUUGCUAACACAGGGAGCUGAACGGUACUACAACAGUGGUGAGGGAUUUUCCUUCAAAUCUUUCUUGAAGAAAAGGAGACAAUGCUGCCCACUUCUUGUUCACAAUGUCACCUGAAAGUUUGCAUGGUGCUGUUGUAGCUGGCAUUCAGGCCCGGAUUAACACUUCUGGGGCUCAAAGGCUUCUGGAUUUUGUGGGGCCAUCGAGGUUCCGGUAAAAGGCCAUGCUUGGUGUCCUGAGAGAGCUAUGGAAUCCUCCACACAGCUUUGUUAAUUAAUACAUUUAAAAUCAGGGCCUCUUGGAACAUUUGCAGUUGAAUUGUUAAUCAUGAAGGAUGUCCUAUUCAGGAAGCAUCCAGAAGGAAGAACAUACUCCGGCAUUAUUAUGAUGGAAACAGAAAGGAAACACAGUCUACUGAUUUUUUUUCCCAUACAUGCCGUAUUCUAUGACCUGGAGUUUCCAGCUAUCGGUUUUGAUCCUGCAAACACAUAGACAUGUGAGUAAAGUUACUUACUUGUGUAAUCCCAAUGACUUCAGUUGAGCUAUUGCUUGUGAGUAACUUUACUCCUAUGCAUACAUGAUUGCAGGAUAAGGACUUUAGUAUGUAAGUGUACAAUAUAAAACUGUCAAGGAAGCUGAUGAUAUAAACAUUCCUAAAACCACACUCAGUAUUACAUAAUAUUUAUUCUCUCUCUCUCAAAACAUUUUGUGAGCGCAAUAUCACUGCCUUUGAAGUCAGUGGGAGUUUUCCAUUGGAGCUAAAUUGAGCCUUGUACAUGUGCUACCAAGCAGUUUACUACAUCAGAAAGAAUAUAUAAAAAGCCUUAUAUUACUUAGCAUUCGUUCCUUAUAAAGCACUAUAUUCAGAGUUUUUCUGUUUCCUUAGUAUGAGCUCCUCAUUUCAGAAUCCAUAAUGUGAAUAAUUAAAUUAGUGGUAGAUCACACUACAGUACAAGUUACAUAUAUACUUAUGCUGGCAUUUAAAGAGGAGAAUCUUUCUUCUCCUGCACUCUGCUUUUUAUUAUAGGAGGAGCUUGUUGCCCUG